rnacentral:lncRNA from 10 species
AUCUUGCAUCUACAUUGGAAGCCAAGAAGAGUCCUUCACAUGCCAGAAACAAUGAGGACUUUAUGCGAAGUACAGAGCAUGCAGGACCAGGUUAGAGAAGGACCUUCGGGACCAGCCCCCAAGCCACCUCGCCUGGGAGAGGCAUGGACUCACGAAAGCAACAGCUCUCCAAAACAGGAAAGAAUAAUCCGAUUGGAUCCCUGGGAAGCAGGGUGUAAAACUGCAGAACUGAGCCAAGACAUGAGAAAACUGAGUCACACAUAGGUCCAGCAAC